rnacentral:rRNA from 1 species
AGCUCGUAGUUGAAAUUGUGUCCUGCGGCGUCGGUCUACCUUUUGCGGUACGACAGGCGCGUCUGCGGGACUUCUCGCCGGUGCGCGUUUACCGUCGGUAUUAAAUGUUAACGCGUUUAGCAGCCGAUAAAACGUCGCGGCUGUACUUUGAACAAAUUAGAGUGCUCAAAGCGGGCUUAUUUUCGCCUGAAUAUUGUACGCAUGGAAUAAUAGAAUAGGACCUCGGUUCUGUUUUGUUGGCUUUCUGAUACCAGAGGUAAUGAUUAAUAGGGACAACUGGGGGCAUUCGUAUUGCGACGUUAGAGGUGAAAUUCUUGGAUCGUCGCAAGACGAACUAAAGCGAAAGCAUUUGCCAAAGGUGUUUUCAUUAAUCAAGAACGAAAGUUAGAGGUUCGAAGGCGAUUAGAUACCGCUGUAGUUCUAACCAUAAAUGAUGCCAGCCAGCGAUCCGCCGAAGUUUCAUUUGAAUUAACUCGGUGGGCAGCUCCCGGGAAACCAAAGCUUUC